AAAACCAAAAGUUUCUUGCAGUAAUGUUUUUGUAAUAAAUGGAAAGCAAAUGACAGUUCAUACAUGAAUACAUUAGGUUUACUUACUAUUAUAUUCCUCUCACCAUUUCAUUUCCAUUUCAAAAGUCACAAAUAGCCGCUGAGAGACAGUGCGUGUUGACAACAACAAACGCGUUUCGUCAAGAUGUUUGGCACCGUACGCCUUCUGUAGUAGCAGGUGGAUAAUAAAAGGUAAAGUUUUACGUCUGUUCAGCAGGCAGUUCAGCAAGAGAGCAGCACGUAAACAAACUGCUGGCAUAUUUUUUAUUUACAAUUACAAGCUUAAAUAAUAAUCAAUUCAUAUUUAAAUGUGUACUUAAAGUGCUAAGCUAACAAUUUUGCACGAUAAAUGACCUUAUGGAAACUAGACGUACAGUAGCAGGUUUGACUGAAUCUUUCUCUGUGUCUCUGAUGAGGAGGAUGUGAAGCUCAGGACUGGUCAUCAUAUCAACACAUCAAUCUACAGACAAACAUCACAUUUAAUAAAGAUUUAAUGAAGAAA